UACGUAGGGUGCAAGCGUUAAUCGGAAUUACUGGGCGUAAAGCGUGCGCAGGCGGUGAUGUAAGACAGAUGUGAAAUCCCCGGGCUCAACCUGGGAACUGCAUUUGUGACUGCAUCGCUGGAGUACGGCAGAGGGGGAUGGAAUUCCGCGUGUAGCAGUGAAAUGCGUAGAUAUGUGGAGGAACACCGAUGGCGAAGGCAGCCCCCUGGGUCAAGACUGACGCUCAUGCACGAAAGCGUGGGGAGCAAACAGG
rnacentral:rRNA from 1 species